rnacentral:tRNA from 1 species
GUUUUUAUAGUUUAAACCUAAAACAUUAGUUUUGUAAACUAAUAAUUGAGCCCCUCAUAAAAACU